ACAAACCUGUCUGCUAACCGUAGCAGCUUCAUAGUAGAGAACCUCCCCUUUUUUUUAUUAGUCCUAUUAAAGCUAGCGUGAUUGCUAGUCAGUUAUCGAAUCGCCGAAUUGUUCGAACGCGUUCAAAUGUUAUCAAGUGUUUAUUUUUUCUUGGGAACUUAUGGCCUCAGGAACAAUAUUUCCUCGUCCUUAUCUAGUCUACAGCUUCGUUAACAUUUAUCAUUGAUUUUCCUGUAAAAUAGUAUGACUUAAAUAACAAAGCUGGUUUUGAGGGGAUGCAGACUAGAGAUAACCUGUUGACUUUUUUGAAUUUUAUUUUUUCAUUUCAUUAAAUAUGUUAGACUGUGCAGUCAAGAAAGCUUUCUUUAAGUUGGAUUUACUCUUUAAAUGAAAAUGUCCAGUUGUCUCAGUUUAGAAAUGCUGGAAGUUAAAAUUUUAAGUAUUUGGAGUGGGUUAAUUAUGGUAGCUUCAAUUGUAGUUUGGUUCUUUACAAACAGCUUUGUUAUGUUCGGGUUCUUUGCAGCUUCAUUAGCUACUUCAGUCAUUGGUAUGAUCUCUGUAUUUUCAAUUGUGAUUAUGAUGUCUCCCAACCACUCUUCUAGCUCAACUGAUAGUCCAAAAGAAAUAAGGAAAUUCCAAGAAAAUAUAAGAGAGAUGGCAUUGACAUUGCAAACUGUCAAAAAUAGUCUUUCCGAUAAUCCACUAAUAAUUAUGAACAGAAGUGUCAGUACAACAUUGCAGAAUUUAAUGGAUUUGAUUUUCAGGGAUUUGUUAGAUUCUAUUCUCAAAGACAUUACUCUUCCAACUUCAUCCAUGAAGAAUGAUGCUUGGGAAGCCUUGCAUAAAUUUUACUGCAAAAUUAGCAACAUUGAUCCAGUACAAUUAAUUACACAAGAUGUUGUUGUUCGAGUUACGCGUCAUUUGGAAAAAAUUCGCCUCGCCCAAUCGAAUCCGGAGAAUAUGCGAGAUAAAAUGAUAUCAUAUAAUCUCUCAUCUUUUCUACGGAGCCCUCAAUCGGAAUUGGAGUUGGUUCGAAAAUUGGCGGACGUUAUGAUAGUGAAUCUAUUCCCACGAUCCUACGUUGACUGUUUCCUUCUACGCCACGCUCUUGGAGAAUUACUUGCUUGCCAAGUUUUGCAACCAGGCAUCGACAGCUUGUGUGAUCCUGAUACAAUCAACCAGCAGUUAGUCUUGCACCUUCACCGAAAGCAAAUGAUGAAGAAAGAUUACGCUUACGCAGCUAGUUACGAAGAUUUUGUUUCUCUUAUUGAAGAUUGCGAUGAUCUGGAAGAACUACGUCAAAUAAGAUACAACAUUGCAACGGAAAUCGCUCAAGCUACCACCAUUGGCUCUAUGCGACGUUCUAAAGGAACAGAGCCUGAUCAGGAAUUCUUGCUCUUGGGUUCCAACAAAAUUGAUCUUUUACAAGCACGUAAUUUAAAACGAUACAUUAAACAAUUAACCUACGCAAAACUCCAGUGCGAAAGAAGACUUCGCGUUUUGGGGGCACCGAUGAGUGACUUUUCUCGUACUUCCACAUCCAAUUCUAAUUUCAACGAUGAAAUGGUUCCUUCUUUCAAGACCGUUAUGAGGAACAACAACCUACGUCGACAACUUGAACUUUAUCUUAUUCAGCAAGGAGAAACUCAAAUUGGUCUUCUGAAAUUUUGGUUGGGCACUCAGGAAUUACGGAGGCUUGAUCGCAAAGCAGCUCUUGCAUCCGCAGCUCACAUGUUUUAUACGUAUAUUAAUGGUAGCAGUCAAAUAAUCAAACUAGAGAAAAAUUUGGUGAAAGGUAUGGAAGGGUUUAUUACUGGAGACAAAGGACCCGAGGCAUUUUUUCAAGCACAAGAUCAAGUAUGGAAGGUGCUUGAGGAUCGUCAUUACCCGUCGUUCCUAGUUGUUCUCACUUGUCAGAUGACGGGUCGUCAGGGUUGCGAGACGGAUUCUGCAACAGAUCCGCUUAGAGAGCGCCAUUUUUCUUGGAAAGAACCAUGGAUCGCUGAUGAUGAGUCAGAGGACACAGCUGGCGUUAUGGAAUGGAGCGAACAGACUCAAUUUGCUAAAAGUCGAAUGGAGCAAGUUGAUGCACGUCUCGUAAUUAAACUUCAGGCAAUGACUAGUUUACGCAGUAUCGCUCCGGAUAGCUCGUUGGUAGUUGCUUUAGAAAAAGAAGUUGAGUCUUUACAGACGGAACGCCGUGAAGUCGAGAGUUGGCUCAACCAGGCCGAAUCCUGGGCUGCUCACAUGGGGCAAUGGAAAGCGACAGUAGGGAUGCCCCCACAGAAUCCCGAAGAAAAGGAGAAUGUGCGAUUUCCAAUCGAAUUGCACUUGGAGGAUGAAGCAGCUAUGAUCGCCGUUGCUUCAAAUAACGGAUCGACGUCAAGAAAAAGAGUGGCUAUGUCGUGGACCGUUUGGCGCCAGGUGGCGGAAUUCUACGCGCUGAUAAGCAAACUGAGUCUUACGUGUCCCUGGUUGAAAACGUCUCAACUGCCUGCUGUCUCGGGCAAGUCACUUUUUGGCAAGCUCAACGAUCGAGCUUAUUUGGAGCGAGCUCAAGAUAAACUCCAGGGCUUCCUCGACACGGUAAUGGCUGACGACCGUCUCAACAAAAGCGAAGCUCUCUUUACUUUCCUGCACAAUACUCCUGUUUGCCUCCGCCAGGCGCUCGUCGUGGACGCACCCAAAAAAUCGAACCGGUUCUCUCUCGCCACGCUAUUUAAAGGGGACACGCCCCGAGAAAGUGAUGAUGACGCAGAGCAACAACAACAACAACACGAUAACAACAUGGCGACAGGCGCGGAUGAAACUGACUCGCUCUUCCAGUCAGCCUUCUCUGACGAUACUCGUGAUGGUAUUGCCGAGCCAAUUUAUCAUCUGAUUAGCGAAGUCUUUGAACUUCGUGGAGUGUUUGGGUGGCUCCGCCGUACCCUAGUCACGUUUGUUCAAAUCACUUAUGGCCGCACCAUUAAUCGGCAACUACGGGAUGUGAUUUCUAGUCUUUUUACCGAUCAAGCGGUGCUUGGUUAUGUUCAGCUGCUAGUCAAGACAUGGUGGCCAGAUGGAUCCUUACUCCCUGCCGCACUCCUACGAAGUAUCGACGAAAAGCGAAGAACCAAACUGGAAGUUCGAGACUUGCUUGUAGCAAACAUUCCGGACGUCUUCAACCAAUUGCUAGGCCACAAGAAUGCCAGACGGGGAACCCUGAAGGUCUUGGACGCUCUUCAAGACGAGCGUCUGAACAAACAACUCUUUUACGAUAUCUUGGAAGUGAUAUUGAAAGAUGGAUUUCCCGAACUAUCUUCCCUCUAAAAAGAAAUGAAUCGUCGUCCAAAAAUAAGCAGGGCAGUUGUUCUGAACAGGCAGUCGAAAAGGACGAAGGAAGAGGAUUGGCGUCAUACUGGAACGGUAAAACUUUGUGACGUGUAACAAGUAAACGGAGGGAGACAAGAUCAACGCCAACUGAAAAACGGUCGAUGACAAAACGAUUAGAUGAACACAAUCAUCGAUACAGCUGUCGAGAAACAAUUGGAACCUUGGGAGUAUCUUCCCUUCAUCCAACUUCCAUCCAUCCAACAGGACCUCCUCGACUAGGUAGAGUAGCAAAAAAAAGCGGAAAAGAUGCUAGAAGGAAAAAAAAAGGGGUAACAGGGAAUGUGUCAAUGUUAGCUCCUGGGAUCUGCAGUUCUACUGAUCUUAUUCCAGCUGGCCUUGUCUUGGUGACGUGCUGCAGAUCCUUGCAAUCCGAUCGAAACUCAAUCUUCUCGCGACGUUGGGCAAAAGAGAUUGGAAGUGUCAUGCUUCUGCAAUCUCGUAGCAAUCCAUUUCAUUCCAAGCUCGAUUUCCCCGUCUUUCCUCUCUUAUUUAUUAUUUCCAGGCAUUUCUCGUCCUUAAGGAUUGUGUAAACACAUCUCCGAUAGCGUUAUUCAAUCGGUGUUAGAGGAGCUCUUCGUUCAACCUAAUUUUGUUUUUGUUUUCUUUUUACUCCUGUCGGAAAAAGCUGAUUUAUUUUCCUCGAUUUGAGAUCUGGGAGCUUUCAACCAUAUCUGGCUUUGAUCUUUAUUUAUUUAUUUAGAGCUAAAUGAAUGUUUUUCGCCUUUAAAAUGACGUGUUACAUGGAGGCAAAUUGGGUCUACUCGAAGGUGACAGCCUUCGAUCGGUAGCACCAUUAGCGGUCGCUGGGCGUGACGCGACAGGGCUCAAAGCGUAGCCGCUGUGACUGUCAGAAUUGCUUCCGUUUCCACCGCCAAAGACCGGCGACGCUGGUUCCAAAACGGGAAACAAUCGCGACGGCUGUGAUUGACUUGAACUACUUGUCGUCCGUGAUGUGUGGCUGCUAGUUGAACUGGGAUCCUGCUCGGCUGACGGCGUUUGCUCAAUCUUAUCCACAUCGGCAGCGGCUCUCUGGUAGAGUCGCAUAAUUUCUCGCUUCAACUGCGCCCUUGUGGCCCGCGUCUGUCCACUGGUCGUUUUGGCGCUGCUCAACGGAGAUGCACAAUAGACGCUGCUUGACUCGAUGCAGCUCUAUCUCUCCUCAGGAAUUUGUGCGCCCUCUUGGCAAGACUGGAGACGGACCCGUUGGCGGAUUCUCCGGAGAGUGUCUCGGGAGUGGCGAUUGGCGCCACUAAUCGAUUACUGUACUCUGAAACCAGGUCCUCGCCAUCGACUGGAUAGUGUUGAAGAGGAUUAAAGUUCCAGCCGGCUGCUGACAUGGCCGGUAAGUUACUAGUUGUGGCUCGCCGGACUUGCGGAUUCAUCCACGAAGGCGGUUGCAACAUGUAGCAAGAAUUGGCAGGAACGCUACUGGAGUAAGGCGUUUCUUUGGCGUCGGGCGAUCGCUGGCCAAUGGUGGGACUCCGGUCGAUCGACGUCAAGCUAUUGUUUUCCAAAAAGGAAUGCUGCGGCAUCAUCACUGGCGACGGAGUAAAGCUGGCUGCCGUCAGAAGAGAACCGUCGACGAUCAGGCCCGGUUGGUAAUCGGCUUGGUCAUCCUUCAAUAGAGGUUCCGACGUGACUCGUUGAGGUUUGGACGGCCCAUGACACGAGAGAACCUGGGAUGGGAUGGGCAGGAUGAACUCUUCACUUGUCGAAGCAUUAAGGACGGAAGAGUGAAGCUCGGACAUCAUAACAAGUGGCCAUCCGCCGAAAUGAAAACAAUCCCAAAUAAAAGAGUUGGCAGGAAAAAUGAAAAAUAGAUUGGAAACCGUGAAAGACGGACGGGCGGUGCAUGGUUGUUGGAAGGUGGGAGUGGGACCUACUACGGAUUCUGGCCGCCAUCUCGCUCUACACGUUGGUGGUUGAACAAGGCACGCGGGAGGAGACGAUUUGCCUCUGAUACUCGGCCAGCUGCUUCUCGUGCCUCAGCACCUAAUAAUCGGAACCACCAACAACAGAGGAUUUUGUGUUGUAGGCCACGGCACAGCACGUCAAACAAAAAGAAAAAUGCAUGCUCUAUCACGAAAGAAAUCACAAAUUCCCAAACCAAAAUGAAAUGGACAUUUCCAGUCAGAAAAAAAAAGUCUGCAGAAAUGCCUUUCUCCCCUUUUUUUGGCGAUCGCAAUUUCCAUUAACGUACGUUUACGGUAUACAAUACCUUGUUGAUGGCGCUGAGGACGGUGUCGGGCAUGUGAUCGUGGACCAUGACGGGAGAGAUGAGUACCUCGUUGAAAUCGAUAGUGUCGGCCCACAAAGCCUGGUAAAUAGGAUCCGGCUGGUCAUCUUUGGUCGUCGCUGGACAACCGGAGCUUCGUUCCGAUCUAUCAGUGCGUGUUUUUGUCCCGGUAACGCCCAACAGCCCGCCCACGAAAAGAGAAGAAAAAAAAAGAAGAGAGAAAAUAAAUUAGUCGACGAGAACCGCAACUUGGCCGUAAAUCGAUAGAGAAAGGGGGGGAAAAAGUGCUCUAUAGAAUUGAUCUAGAGAGUUAGUCUAGGGCGUAAAGUCUCCUCCCCGUUGCUGCUUUCUGUUUUCCCUCGUGCGGAUACAGCCGGUAUAAUCAAAUAAACUCUCAGUCUGUAGAUAGAGAAACCCAGUAAACUUGGCGUGACAAACAACAACUUUUUUUCCUUCUUCUAGUGCCGCCGCCCUCUCUUUACUCUUUCAACUAGUAGAGGAUGAAAGUCACCGGAAUGAGCCAGACGACGCCAGCAGACACCUAAAGAAGCUUUUUCGGUCAUCUGAAAGGAGUUCGUUCGAGCAUUACUGAUCCCCUUUCGGGAAUAUCCUAUACACUAUUCACCUCAAGUUGGGCUUCGUCGUGUUCCAUGACUCCUGCUAGUUAAGAGAGAAAACGUAGUACUAUACUCGUGCCAAAUCGAACGGAAAUAACAACUCCCAACUCUUUGAAUAUUUACUCAGCCACCUACAAACGGAAUCUGCUGCUGUCUCCCAAGAGUAAACUAGAGUACGCUCAACAAUUAAAGCGGAAAGCCAGAGUUCUUCAACUUGCCUGUCGGAUGCUUUUGGAUGUUGCCUAACGAUGUGAAUGAUGCGGCCGGGCGGAUACAGUGGCUGAUGAGUCGACAGGGAGAUAUUAGUAUCGGAUGGAUGUUUCGUUAGGACGGCUGUUGUGGAAGGCACGUCUUUUGAACCGCCGCCGCCUCCUUCUUCGAUCGAAACGACUGGACUGUUGGAAAUUUUGACAGAGGCAUCUUUAUUCCGCCGUCCGCAGCACAGCAUGCUGGAACCCAGAAUUUUCCAUUUCGGAUUCGUGCUCUUGUUGAUUGCCGUCAUCAGACUGGACCUCAAAGUUUCCAGCUGAUGGAGACCCAGCCGAGGGACGACAUCUUUGCCAACGACGAUGGAUGUCACAAACUCUUUUGUGAAUUCAGCUGCCGUCCGCCGGGUGGUGAAUAGGCGUAGCAGUGAACAUGGGGAUACUCGUGGCGGAGUAGCAAAGCCAAAAUAGCUGCCGUUCCAGCGCCUAAAGAGUGACCGACUAGAACCAGACGAAAAUCCGGCGUGCCUCUUUCCGGAUUGUGAGCAAACGCUUUUCCUAGCAAAUUCUCCUUCUCCAACUUGUUGCGAAUGUAUGUGGCGGUUUGCACCAUACCCUUUUUUUGACAAAAACAAGAAGUCUUCUCGUGUUAACUGGAGAGGAAUGGGUUCCGCUUCGGCGUGAAGAUCCGUUAUCACGUCCUGUCACGGGACCCAGAAAACAGAGAGAUUCAAGAUUUGAUUUAUAUCUUUCAACGAUCGGUCACCCAAUACCUUCAUGCUGAUGGUGCCUCGAAUGCUGACCACGACGCUCUGGUGGUCGUAGUCAAUGGCGACGAAAAAAGGCGUUUCCGCUACGUCGACGUGGAAGGAAGCGAAAAUGACUUCGUGAUCAACGCGGCCGAUGGAUUGUUUCAGCGCUGCCAGGUGACAACCACUGCACGUGUCUCCCACAAUGACGGGUAGAGUUUCGCCACUCUCCGACGAGCCUGUCGAACCACUUCCACAACAGCAGCAACACCUUGCAUGGCGAUACAAACCGGGAGUUGAAAAACAAAACAAAAAACUGUUGGAACGCGAUCGUGUUAUUGGAUUUCGCAUGUCAAUCCCAUUAGUGUAGCAGCUGUACUAGUUGGAUUUGCAGCAGUAGUAUCUCUCUACCUUGUCUGGACUGCCAUGUAUGGUUUCUAUCGAACUGCAGGACCUUCCGGAAUUUAUGGACGUUCGUUCUUACCUAAUGUUAGAUACCAGGCGGCACAAUCCCGUCUUGGAAUGGCCUAGCAGGUACAUGGGCCAGCCAUAAGCAGCCAGGGCGAAUUUCAUAUAAUGUUCCGUCAAUUGGAAAGCUUCCAGUUGGUCGGGUUCGUGCAAGGAAAGGAAGCGUGUCCGUGAAGUGACGGCCACUCCCGACAAGAACUCGUAAAUGUCGUUCUGGUCCUAUAUUCAAAAUGAAGACAAGCCAACAAAAACAAAUAAAAACUACUAAAACCUUUCCGACAGAUGAAAUACAGCAACGACAAAAAUAGUUGAAAAUGGAGUAUAGACUUAAAAUUGAAUAGGAAUAAAACAAAAAUGUCAGCAGGUUUGUAAUCCGACUCCACACAUUAAAUUCCCAUUUUCCUUUUUCUUUUAUGGAUUUGUCGCAUCUUACGUUGUUGUUUAUUAGUGACUUUAUUGCCUGUAAUGGUGUUUAAGCGUUCUGUGGGUCAUAAAUUAUGUGUUUAGGGA
rnacentral:misc_RNA from 1 species